rnacentral:lncRNA from 1 species
UAAAAUAACGAUCAAAAAAUCAAUUUUUUAGGUGAAAAAAUCGCUCCCAAACAGGCCCUAAAACAACUUCUUAUGAUGUCCAAAUAAGCAAUCCUCCCAAAACCAAUUUGGGAGAAAUUUGAAUGCCUACCCUAAAAAAUGUCCAAGUACAAAAUAUAAUUAGUCGCUUUCCCACGACGUUGUAGGUGUGGAAUUUACAGAGCAAGAAAAAUAAAACAAAUAAGCCGAAAUAUUAUUAUGACAAAAGCUCAAAUUCAAUUAAGACCUCCCUCCGCUGAUUUACAGCCCAAGAUUUCUCCAGUUUCUGAGUUUGAUCAUCUGCACCAAUACAAAUCAUAGAAUCAGAAAUUGAGAAAAAAUUAACUAGAAUAAUAUGCGGCCAAUAAUUUCAAGAGAGAUCGUAAGUAACUGGCUGCAUUUUCAGUAUUUGGGUUUUGACAUAAUCAAAUGGUAAACUGCAAGCUGCAGCAAAGAAUCCGGAUAUAUUGAAUUACACAAUACUAAACAUGAGGUAAAAAUCUCAUAAGAACACUGAAGAGGUUUCAGGUAAUAUCGGGCGGUCGAGGAAAAAUGAACACAUUGUGAGUCCAUAAUAUGGGUAGCCAUAACACCAGAGGCCAGAGAUCUGCAUACGCAUCCU